AAAUGAAUUGACGGGGGCCCGCACAAGCGGAGGAACAUGUGGUUUAAUUCGAUGAUACGCGAGGAACCUUACCUGGGCUUAAAUGUUGAGUGCAUGGGGUAGAAAUAUCCCUUCCCUUCGGGGCUUUCAGCAAGGUGCUGCAUGGUUGUCGUCAGCUCGUGCCGUGAGGUGUCGGGUUAAGUCCCAUAACGAGCGCAACCCUUAUCGUUAGUUGCCAGCGGGUAAUGCCGGGAACUCUAGCGAAACUGCCGGUGUAAACCGUGAGGAAGGUGGGGAUGACGUCAAAUCAGCACGGCCCUUAUGUCCAGGGCCACACACGUGUUACAAUGGCCGGUACAGAGGGCAGCUACCUGGAGACAGGAUGCGAAUCUCCAAAGCCGGUCUCAGUUCGGAUCGGAGUCUGCAACUCGACUCCGUGAAGCUGGAUUCGCUAGUAAUCGCGCAUCAGCCACGGCGCGGUGAAUACGUUCCCGGGCCUUGUACACACCGCCCGU
rnacentral:rRNA from 1 species